rnacentral:rRNA from 1 species
GAGUUUGAUCGUGGCUCAGGACGAACGCUGGCGGCGUGCCUAAUACAUGCAAGUCGAGCGAGUCUGCCUUGAAGAUCGGAGUGCUUGCACUCUGUGAAACAAGAUACAGGCUAGCGGCGGGCCGGGGUGAGUAACACGUGGGUAACCUGCCCAAGAGAUCGGGAUAACACCUGGAAACAGAUGCUAAUACCGGAUAACAACAGAUGAUGCCUAUCAACUGUUUAAAAGAUGGUUCUGCUAUCACUCUUGGAUGGACCUGCGGUGCAUUAGCUAGUUGGUAGGGUAACGGCCUACCAAGGCGAUGAUGCACAGCCGAGUUGAGAGACUGAUCGGCCACAUUGGGACUGAGACACGGCCCAAACUCCUACGGGAGGCAGCAGUAGGGAAUCUUCCACAAUGGACGCAAGUCUGAUGGAGCAACGCCGCGUGAGUGAAGAAGGGUUUCGGCUCGUAAAGCUCUGUUGUUGGUGAAGAAGGACAGGGGUAGUAAC